rnacentral:rRNA from 1 species
GGCGGACGGGUGAGUAAUGUAUAGUUAAUCUGCCCUUUAGAGGGGGAUAACAGUUGGAAACGACUGCUAAUACCCCAUACUCCUUUUACAUUAAUUGUAAUUGGGAAAUGUUUUUUCGCUAAAGGAUGAGACUAUAUGGUAUCAGGUAGUUGGUGGGGUAAGAGCCUACCAAGCCAAUGACGCCUAGCUGGUCUGAGAGGAUGAUCAGCCACACUGGAACUGAGACGCGGUCCAG